rnacentral:rRNA from 1 species
UACGUAGGGUGCGAGCGUUAAUCGGAAUUACUGGGCGUAAAGCGUGCGCAGGCGGUUGUGCAAGACAGAUGUGAAAUCCCCGGGCUUAACCUGGGAACUGCAUUUGUGACUGCACAGCUGGAGUGCGGCAGAGGGGGAUGGAAUUCCGCGUGUAGCAGUGAAAUGCGUAGAUAUCGAGAGGAACACCAGUGGCGAAGGCGAGUCCCUGGACAACUACUGACACUGAGGCACGAAAGCUAGGGGAGCAAACAGG